GAUGAACGCUGGCGGCGUGCCUAAUACAUGCAAGUCGAGCGAAUGGAUUAAGAGCUUGCUCUUAUGAAGUUAGCGGCGGACGGGUGAGUAACACGUGGGUAACCUGCCCAUAAGACUGGGAUAACUCCGGGAAACAGGGGCUAAUACGGGAUAACACUUUGAACCGCAUGGAUAGAAAUUGAAAGUCGGCUUCGGCUGUCACUUCUGCAUGGACCCGCGUCGCAUUAGCUAGUUGGUGAGGUCACGGAUCACCAAGGCAACGAUGCGUAGCCGACCUGAGAGGGUGAUCGGCCACACUGGGACUGAGACACGGCCCAGACUCCUACGGGAGGCAGCAGUAGGGAAUCUUCCGCAAUGGACGAAAGUCUGACGGAGCAACGCCGCGUUAGUGAUGAAGGCUUUCGGGUCGUAAAACUCUGUUGUUAGGGAAGAACAAGUGCUAGUUGAAUAAGCUGGCACCUUGACGGUACCUAACCAGAAAGCCACGGCUAACUACGUGCCAGCCGCCGCUGUAA
rnacentral:rRNA from 1 species